rnacentral:rRNA from 1 species
AUUGAACGCUGGCGGCAGGCUUAACACAUGCAAGUCGAGCGGAGAGAGGUAGCUUGCUACUGAUCUUAGCGGCGGACGGGUGAGUAAUGCUUAGGAAUCUGCCUAUUAGUGGGGGACAACAUUUCGAAAGGAAUGCUAAUACCGCAUACGUCCUACGGGAGAAAGCAGGGGAUCUUCGGACCUUGCGCUAAUAGAUGAGCCUAAGUCGGAUUAGCUAGUUGGUGGGGUAAAGGCCUACCAAGGCGACGACCUGUAGCGGGUCUGAGAGGAUGAUCCACCACACUGGGACUGAGACACGGCCCAGGCUCCGACGGGAGGUAGCCGUGGGGAAUAUUGGACAAUGGGCGGAAGCCUGAUCCAGCCAUGCCGCGUUUGUGAAGAAGGCCUUAUGGUUGUAAAGCACUUUAAGCGAGGAGGAGGCUACUUUAGUUAAUACCUAGAGAUAGUGGACGUUACUCGCAGAAUAAGCACCGGCUAACUCUGUGCCAGCAGCCGCCGUAACAC